CGGGAAAGUCAAGUCAUAAAUCCCUGAAUCUAAAACUCCAUUCUCAGAGAAAAGGCCUCCAAGGACGGGCGCCGUGCGCGGCAACUGCCUGCAGUUUUGAAGCCCUUUGACUAUUUCAUAACAAAGACAAGGCCGGGCGGCUUGGACGCUUAGGAAAAUCCUGGGGCUUUGCAAAAACAACAGGUUAAUCUAGUCGUGUGGGAUGAUCACCAAAACAAGACAGGAAAGAAGAACACCGUGUCAAUGCUGAAAAGCCAGCCCCUAACACAGGGCUUCUACUCCAGGGUUUCCUCGCCAGGGAACCCCAAACACACAGGACCUGGAGAAGCCGGGUGGAGCUGGCUUCUGGCCCUGCGCUUGGGUGGUCGGCUGCCUUAAGAAGAACUGCACCCCAGAGACAGUCUCGCAGCUGCCGACCUUAUCCACUCGCCCUUUCUGCCGGAGCCCAGGCCCAGUGCUCCAGCAAGGAGGCUGAGAAAAUGCUGAAGACUGAUGCCCACGGGGGACAGCUUGGGCUAAGGAUAACGUUUGCAAAACAAACCUUUAAAAACCCAUAGCAACCUGUUUCCUAGAGCACACUCUUCAUCUCUCCACCCCCAAACUAGUCCCGACUCGGAUCCUCCUUUUCCUAUCCUCUUCCUCUUGCUCUCCCGUCUCCUAUUCACUUUUCCUCUCCUUUCCUCUUGAUUAUUAUAAACAAAUGCUUUCCAAGUCUUACCGCCAUCAUAUGUGUACAUAUGCAACCCUUACUGUUACCAAUUUGUUGAAGUCAAGACAGGAGGAGGCAAAGUUUAAAAAUCCGAAGCAUUGCAGGAAAUAAAAAUGGAGUGAGUGUUGCCUGGGUAUCAUAAAUUUUUUUUUUUUUAACAGUUCCUCUACUUGGCUCUCCUCCAAAGGUACGCGGCCACAGCAGGCAGGGGCUUGGCAGUGUGGGAGGAGACACCACAGAAGACAGGGAAGAACUACCAGGCCUUGGUUCAUCUCCACACUGGCGAGAGAGGAUGUGCAGAUGAUGAAGCUGGCCAGGCGCCG
rnacentral:lncRNA from 1 species